GUGGGGAAUAUUGGACAAUGGGGGCAACCCUGAUCCAGCAAUGCCGCGUGUGUGAAGAAGGCCUUCGGGUUGUAAAGCACUUUCAGUAGGGAAGAAAAGCUUAAGGUUAAUACCCUUGGGCCUUGACGUUACCUAAAGAAGAAGCACCGGCUAACUCUGUGCCAGCAGCCGCGGUAAUACAGAGGGUGCAAGCGUUAAUCGGAAUUACUGGGCGUAAAGCGCACGUAGGUGGCUAGGUAAGUCGGAUGUGAAAGCCCCGAGCUCAACUUGGGAAUUGCAUUCGAUACUGUCUGGCUAGAGUAUGGUAGAGGGAAGUGGAAUUCCACAUGUAGCGGUGAAAUGCGUAGAUAUGUGGAGGAACAUCAGUGGCGAAGGCGACUUCCUGGACCAAUACUGACACUGAGGUGCGAAAGCGUGGGGAGCAAACAGG
rnacentral:rRNA from 1 species